GAGAAAGAGGGAGGUAAUGCGAGACCAUUAUCAUAUAUGUCUGCGUUUAGGGAUUGUUUGGCUGAUUGUUCUCUGGAAGACCUUGGUUAUAUUGGCAAUAAAUUCACUUGGAAGAGGGGGAGGAUCAGAGAGAGACUGGAUAGAGCUGUGGGGAACAUGGCAUGGGCGGGUAUGUUUCCUGAUGCAGCUGUGCAUCAUCUUAUUAUGGGUGGUUCGGAUCACAGGCCGAUUAUGAUCAACACAUCUACGUAUACUUUGCCUGGUAGCGGCACUAGCCGACGGCGAAAACGCUUUGAAGGCAAAUGGCUAAGGGAGGAAACAGUGGGUGAUGUGGGGGCAACGGCAUGGGAACACUCGCCCGCAAAUAUACCGAUCUUGGCAAGACUUGCAGCAGUACAUGAUGAGCUGCAUGAGUGGGACAAAAAUGUACUGAAGGCUCCUCGUAAGAGAAUCAGGGACGUGACGAAACAGCUUGACCAUAUACUAGCAGGACCGAUGGAUGAGUACUCUACUCGGCGCCAACAUGAAAUAACAACGCAGUUGGAACUUGCGUUGGAACAGGAAGAAGUGUACUAUAUGCAGCGGAGUAGGAGUGAUUUUCUUGAGUAUGGGGACCGCAAUACAGCGUACUUCCAGCAAAGUGCAUCAGCUAGGCGCAAGAAAAAUACUAUUGUGAAGCUAAAAGAUGCAAGUGGAGUUUUUAGAGAAGGAAAUGAGGAGAUCAAGCCUCUGAUACAAUCUUAUUUUACCGAACUCUUCACAUCAGAGGUCUUGGGGACCGAUGAAACCUUGUUACUACCUCCGUCUCGGUGA
rnacentral:rRNA from 1 species